rnacentral:rRNA from 1 species
UACGUAGGUGGCGAGCGUUGUCCGGAUUUACUGGGCGUAAAGAGCGCGCAGGCGGUCGUUCAAGUCGCGUGUGAAAGCCCCCGGCUCAACUGGGGAGGGUCACGCGAUACUGAUCGACUCGAAGGCAGGAGAGGGUAGUGGAAUUCCCGGUGUAGUGGUGAAAAUGCGUAGAGAUCGGGAGGAAGGCCGGUGGCGAAGGCGGCGCUCUGGAACGUUUCUGACGCUGAGGCUCGAAAGCGUGGGGAGCAAACAGG